AUCUACGGCCAUACCUAGGUGAAAACACCAGUUCCCGUCCGAUCACUGCAGUUAAGUGAAAACGUCUGAGGGGCCUCGUUAGUACUAUGGUUGGAGACAAAAUGGGAAUCCGGGGUGCUGUAGGCU
rfam:Schizosaccharomyces cryophilus OY26 unplaced genomic scaffold supercont4.6, whole genome shotgun sequence.